GACGAACGCUGGCGGCGUGCCUAAUACAUGCAAGUCGAACGAAACUUUCUUACACCGAAUGCUUGCAUUCACCGUAAGAAGUUGAGUGGCGGACGGGUGAGUAACACGUGGGUAACCUGCCUAAAAGAAGGGGAUAACACUUGGAAACAGGUGCUAAUACCGUAUAUCUCUAAGGAUCGCAUGAUCCUUAGAUGAAAGAUGGUUCUGCUAUCGCUUUUAGAUGGAUCCGCGGCGUAUUAACUAGUUGGUGGGGUAACGGCCUACCAAGGUGAUGAUACGUAGCCGAACUGAGAGGUUGAUCGGCCACAUUGGGACUGAGACACGGCCCAAACUCCUACGGGAGGCAGCAGUAGGGAAUCUUCCACAAUGGACGCAAGUCUGAUGGAGCAACGCCGCGUGAGUGAAGAAGGUCUUCGGAUCGUAAAACUCCGUUGUUAGAGAAGAACACGAGUGAGAGUAACUGUUCAUUCGAUGACGGUAUCUAACCAGCAAGUCACGGCUAACUACGUGCCAGCCGCCGCGGUAA
rnacentral:rRNA from 1 species